rnacentral:lncRNA from 1 species
CACCCCAAAAAUAAAGAUUUCACUACAAUUAAUAUUUAUACAAUGAUAAGAACAAAAGAAAUACAAAUACAAAAAAUUCAAGCUUUCCUGUGAAUAUCAUUCCCGACUAGUAAUCCUGAGAAUCUGUACAAACACUUGUAAUAAAAAUAUUAGUAAUAAAUAAUUAUAAAAAGGCAUGUGCACAUAUAUGUAUUUAAAAAAAUAUAAUUUUUAUUAACAAACAGGCUC